GUCAGCGCCAACAAUCCCGGAAACUGGAACCCGGAUGCUACAGUCUUAAACGGGACUGUGGGAAUCGUACUUGGAAGGAGCAGUAUCCCACUGCUCAGAUGGGGCAAGGAAUGCACCUAGAUGGAGAAGCUACCAUAAAGGAGAAAUUAUUAUAAUGAGCUGCAUAUUCAUCCAGUGAAUGACUAACCAACUGAGUCACUCAAUUAAGAGUGUCCUGUGGGAAUGAAAGUUGCCAAAAUAACCAAGGUUCCCCCAAACGCCUGAGUCCUGACAAAAUACUUUUUUAUACACUAUCUCUCGAUCUUAGCACAAUUUGGCAAUGGAGACAUUUUUUUUUCCUCCUAUAGAUAAGAAAAUGGGUAAGAGAAAGAGUACAUGACUCACUCGUGGUCUCUCGGCUGGUAAGAAUAGAUUGGAACAAGAUUCAAUCCAUGAAAGGCUCCAAGCCCAGGAAGACAGCAUCCUAGCCUCUAUCAAGUCUUAAGAGGAGGAAAAGCUUUGUUGCUGAGAUCCUGGCAACCGGGAGAUGUGACAGUAGCAGAGAAGGAUGAAAGGAGCAGAGGGGAGCAAGAGCAGGCCUACACGGUGGCAUUGGAGCUGCUGAGAGAAACCUUCCUGGUCCCUUCCACUGGGGAUUGACCAUGGCAAUAAGGUCCCUGGACACUGGAGCCUCGCUAGCCAACCUUCCUGCCCAGCCUCCAGCUGCCACCCCACAAUGCCAACAACUCCUCUCCUGGAAGGAUCCUGUGGAAGCCAUUAUGAUAAUGCAGUUCCUUGCUGACUUGCCUUUGGGAGCACCAGGCAGAUCCCUUGAGCCGGGCUUUCUUUGAAUGGAAGAACUAGAGGAGAUGCUGCCAUGGUAACGCCGUUCCCCUGCCCAUUUCUACCAUCGCCGAGCUGGGGGAGAUCCCUGGAGGAAGUGGUUCCCCACCUCCUUCACCAAGGCAGGAGAGAUCGCCAAGGACACACAGAUGGAGAGGAGCCUUAGGGAAUGUUCCCUCUAGCCUGAAAUGGCUGCUGAGGUUGUCAUGGCAACCGGAUCCUUUGCCCACCAAACCAUGAAGGGGAGGGAGAGCGGAAGGGCUGCCUGGGAGCCAGCCUGUGCCUGCGCAGCUCUAAGUUCCCACCUCAGCUGGCCGACUAGAAAAGGGAGGUCCCCCUUAUCCUGGAGCAUCCCGGAAAACCAUCUCUGAAAGGACAGUGCUAAUUAAGGCAGGAGGUGAGGAGGAAUGGUUAAACUAGGCAUAGUGGUGCACACUGGGAAUCCCAGCAUACAGGAGGCUGAGGCAGGAGGAUUGCAAGUUCAAGGAGCCCCUGGACUAUGUAGUGAGAACUAGUCUCAAAAACAAAGAAUAGCUACAAAAGACGUGGAGAUGGCUACUUUUAAUGUCAACAGUGACUUUGCCAAUGCAAAGCAUUUGGAUUUCAUGUGUCCAAAAUGCCCCCUUUUUCCCCCUCUCUAUUCUUAAAUUGUCUUGAAUUAAUCCCUUAACUAAUAAUAAUAUGUCAAAUACUCAGAUCACUUUUGUCUAUUAGCAGCAAGAGAAGGAGACCUGGGAGCAGCUAUAAGAGGAAACAUCCCAUCCUUCAAAGAGGCUCAAAUUGGCAUCUCCAAGUCAUAUAUAUGUGUGCAUGAUCCAUUAUUAAAAUGUGCUCUAGACUAUUAAACCAAUGCAAAAUAAAUAAAAAUAGAAUUAGUCUAGAAACCAAA